rnacentral:lncRNA from 1 species
CCCCGACCAGGUGGCUUGCCAACUCGUUUUUCUCUUUUCUCAUCUCCUCUCCCGUCCGCCUCCCCGUCGCACCUGCUCCUCGCUGCCUCCUCCCGUCCUCGCCGCGGCCCCCUUCCCCUUCUUCCCGCCUGCUCCCGCUCCUCCUAUUCCCUCCCAGCCUCCUCUCGCGCCGUUCCCCUUGGGUAAUCUCCGGCGAAAUCGAGGUAGCUGCUGGCGAUUUUCGAUUCAACCAAGCGGGACUACGAGAUCUCUAUCGCUGCCCUCCUCCUCCUCGCUGCCAUCACAGCUCCUGCCUCCUUCUCCCUGCCGUCGUGGCCUCCAUCGUCCUCCUCGAAGCCUUUGGUCACCCCGACCUCCCUCCUCCUCGAAGCAUUUGGUUACAAAUUGGGGAAGAUUCAGGAGAUGAAAUGCAGAGUUAAAGGGCAGAAUCAGCUUGUGGGGUAAAGGGGAAGAAUUCCCACCCUUUAAUUUGAGGGGAAACACAUGGGACCGAGAGAAUUGAAGAAGUGGCAAGCACUGGAACUCUUCUGGAAGAGGUUGAACGCAGGGAAGAAGAUGACGAACCUGCACUCCUGGAGAUGUGCUCGCCCAUGAGAUGGGCCAGGAGGGUGAGGUGCGGCCCAGGAGGAAAGAAAAAAAUAAGAAGUGUGAGAGGGGGCCUGCAGCCCAUGAAAAAAUAGAGGGUGAGAAAUACGGGCUGCAAGUUAGUGCCUGGUCGAAUUUUUUUUCUUAUAAAGUUGCUAAACAUGUGUAUUUAGUUGCUAAGACGCUAAUUUUUUUUUGCUAAAAUAUGAGUAGUUAGGUUGUAAUGUAUCCAUCAUGGUUGCUUUAAUUAAAAAUUGUUACAAGUAUUCAAAGUUGCAAGAACAAAAGACAAAGUUGACAGCUUUGUAAGAAAAGUUGCCGACAUAAAACACAAUGUUGUCACACAUUAGAGAA